rnacentral:rRNA from 1 species
AGUGAACGCUGGCGGUAGGCCUAACACAUGCAAGUCGAACGGCAGCACAGUAAGAGCUUGCUCUUACGGGUGGCGAGUGGCGGACGGGUGAGGAAUACAUCGGAAUCUACUUUUUCGUGGGGGAUAACGUAGGUAAACUUACGCUAAUACCGCAUACGACCUACGGGUGAAAGCAGGGGAUCUUCGGACCUUGCGCGAUUGAAUGAGCCGAUGUCGGAUUAGCUAGUUGGCGGGGUAAAGGCCCACCAAGGCGACGAUCCGUAGCUGGUCUGAGAGGAUGAUCAGCCACACUGGAACUGAGACACGGUCCAGACUCGUACGGGAGGCAGCAGUGGGGAAUAUUGGACAAUGGGCGCAAGCCUGAUCCAGCCAUACCGCGUGGGUGAAGAAGGCCUUCGGGUGGUAAAGCCCUUUUGUUGGGAAAGAAAAGCAGCAGGUUAAUACCCCGCUGUUCGGACGGUACCCAAAGAAUAAGCACCGGCUAAUUUCGU